rnacentral:misc_RNA from 1 species
UCCUCCUGCAGAAGUUGAGCAUAGAUAAUGCCACUUUUGGUCAAAGGUGAUGACGUCAGAAGUGGAAGAUUUCCCUUCAAACGCAAGUAUCAAGGACCAAAUCCAAAUGUGCUAAGCGAGGCCAAGGCUCGUCACGGCCGGUUAUGGCCGGCACAGGAGUCAAUGGGUUAAGCAUAUGAAUCUGGCAGGGUACAGUGAAAGGGUAUCACAUUAGGGAUGGGAGGGAAGAUAAUUCCUUGUGGUAUAUUGGAUUCAGCCUUUAGGCUAGUGUUCUCAAUAGACGGGCAUAACAGGCAGAAUUACCACUGGCUUUCAAAACAAAAGUAGCAACCUAGUCUAGCCUGUGAGCGUCCUCCUACACCACAGCCUACCCCCUACCCCUUUUUGAGCAAGAAAUGCUUCAGCUUAAUUAACCUACUGCCUUUUGGAGGAAGAGAGUAUUUACCGUAACACACCCACUUUUUGUGUAAGAAAGGGUCCACUUUCAUCUGCUUUCUUUCUAAGUGGGAAAUUGUCCAUCGUUGACCAUCCUACAGGGUAAAGAAGGGUUGACUCCCCCCUUUUGAAGCAAGGGAGGGUCCCCUUUUUGAGGAGGAAUGGGUCCACCCCCACUAGCCACUCCCUCUCCUCAUUUGGGCCAGGACUUAGGGUCCAGGGGCCACUUUUACUUCAGCCUCUCCCUUCAUGCUAAAUCAAUAAAUACAGCAAACUGGAAAAUGUAUCAAAUGAUUUAAUAAACUCUACUGAUUAUAAUAAUGUAGUCUGGAUAGAUCAGAACUGUAGAGGAAACAAUUACCAUUACAUCUUUGAGGAAACCUGGAAGACAUCUCAUGUUAUAGACUGCAAAACAUCAGUUUCUACGUUUUAAAACGAUUUUGCUUUUCUAGGAAGAUUUUUGUGAACUUUCUGACUAUAUUCCUGAACAAAUUUCAUAUUUUACACAAAUCAGCCCAUAUCAUGUGCUGUAAUGGUCUUACACAAAUCAUGUAAUGUUACAUGAAGUAGUACUACUGCUGACCCUGUGUAGUGACAUAUUCUCAGUGUGUGGUGAUCCUGUAAAGCAGCCAUUUAUUCUUGAAUGAGUAGACUGGCUGUUUUCAGCUGUUCUGCAAGUCUGAUUUCAUUGUCAAGUUUUGUAGCAAAGGAGCUUUUACUAUGACAUGUUGGGAUUUAGCUUUCUGUCCUCUUGAAACAACACACUACUGCAGCUGCUAACCAAUAGAGCUAAACACCAAUGGUCAUUGUUGGUACACAAGGAGGGCACAGCCCAAUUAAGCACCUACUUCAUUAAUUACCUCUUCCUGCCUUCUCUUCUGCAGCCUGUUAGCAGCAAAGGAACCUUAUCCAUUCAGUUGCUAGAUUACAAUAAUCCAAGCUCUAAAGAUUAUGCUGGAUCAUGCUGCGACUGCUGUGGUGUGUUUGGUUGGUGCCCAAAUGAUUGUGAAAACUUCUUCCGGAUUAUUGUCACAUCGUAUCCAUACAAUUUUUUUAGUGCUCUGUCACCUUGGGAAAGGUGGGAGACGUUCGUUUUAGGAGAUGAUAGUUUUGAUUUUCCUGGAUAUGGUCAAACUGUUGGUAGUAGUCUGCACAACCCACUGACGUACCAUUUUACUGGAAGGUGGCCGGAAGCAUUUGCUAUUGGCCUGGAUGUAUGGGAUGACGACAGUGGUAAUUUUCUUAAAAUUGGACAUGCUGAUGAUCUUGUUGACACCAUGAGUAGUAACGUUGGUAAUGUUCCAGCACAGAAGGAUUUGCAGAGUGCUGUUGCCAAAAGUGUCACG